rnacentral:ncRNA from 4 species
CCCAUAAAGUAGAAAGCACU